UAGCUCAGUUAGCAGGGGUCAGCACCUUGAUCAUGAUGGAGGUUAUCCCAGGGUGAGGCUCGUCCAUUGCACUGUGGUGGUGCUGGCCCCUGAGAUUUCCCCAAAUGUGGGAAACUCAACUGCAUAAUUACGCAUGUAGUGGAAUGAAAUGUUUGUGCUGUUG